rnacentral:rRNA from 1 species
AAGGGGGAAACCUGAUCCAGCCAUGCCGCGUGAGUGAAGAAGGCCUUCGGGUUGUAAAGCUCUUUCGGCUGGGAAGAAAUCGCACAGGCUAAUACUCUGUGUGGAUGACGGUACCAGCAUAAGAAGCACCGGCUAACUACGUGCCAGCAGCCGCGGUAAUACGUAGGGUGCGAGCGUUAAUCGGAAUUACUGGGCGUAAAGCGUGCGCAGGCGGUUGUGCAAGACAGAUGUGAAAUCCCCGGGCUCAACCUGGGAACUGCAUUUGUGACUGCACGACUAGAGUACGGCAGAGGGGGGUAGAAUUCCACGUGUAGCAGUGAAAUGCGUAGAGAUGUGGAGGAAUACCGAUGGCGAAGGCAGCCCCCUGGGCCGAUACUGACGCUCAUGCACGAAAGCGUGGGGAGCAAACAGGAUUAGAUACCCUGGUAGUCCACGCCCUAAACGAUGUCAACUAGUUGUUGGUAGGGUUAAACCUAUUAGUAACGUAGCUAACGCGUGAAGUUGACCGCCUGGGGAGUACGGUCGCAAGAUUAAAACUCAAAGGAAUUGACGGGGACCCGCACAAGCGGUGGAUGAUGUGGAUUAAUUCGAUGCAACGCGAAAAGACUUACCUAGCCUUGACAUGUCCAGAAUC